AUUGAACGCUGGCGGCAGGCCUAACACAUGCAAGUCGAACGAGUCGCGGGCGGGUGAAUUAUGUCUGGGACUGUGCCUGAUGGAGGGGGAUCACUACUGGAAACGGUAGCAAAUCCCGCAAACCAUCAUGUGUGCCUAGAUGGGAUGAGCUAGUUGGUGGGGUAACGGCACACCAAGGCGACGAUCCGUAGCUGGUCUGAGAGGAUGACCAGCCACACUGGAACUGAGACACGGUCCAGACUCCUACGGGAGGCAGCAGUGGGGAAUAUUGCACAAUGGGCGCAAGCCUGAUGCAGCCAUGCCGCGUGUAUGAAGAAGGCCUUAGGGUUGUAAAGUACUUUCAGCGGGGAGGCGUUACCGGCAGAAGAAGCACCGGCUAACUCCGUGCCAGCAGCCGCGGUAAUUC
rnacentral:rRNA from 1 species